CUGAAUCCUGCUGAAUUCACACCCUGGCAAUAUAGCAAUGUCCAAGGGAUGCAACUGGUAAUUCUGCCUGGCUGUUAAACUGCCUCAUGUCAUCCUGCUUCCAAUGGCUGCUGACAAGUGUGCAGAGAGAGAGCGUGCAGGAAGAUGGGCAGAGGCUGGGAGCACUUUCAUCCUGCUGAGGCUGUGUGUGUGUGAAUCUCCCGAGCAUCCCGGGGGAGCCUCUCUGGGAAGCGCUGCAGAGCCGGCUGCGGUGUGUGCUGCCGAUAAGGAGGUGAAACAAUGGCUGCGAUACCAAAAGCCUUCACAGAAUUACUUGGUUGUCUAAAAUAUACUGAAGGAAACAACACUAAUGGCCCCCAGAUGUGACAACAGAAGAACAGAAAAUAAAACAAUUCACUUAAAGGAGAGAAAACGAGGUGGAGGAAGAAGGAGAAGCAAGGAAAGAAGAAAGACUUGGAUAUUUUGUCAGACAUAUUUGGUUAGGUUUU